rnacentral:tRNA from 1 species
AUUGAAAUAGCUCAAAAAGAGCUUUGCAUUGAAGCUGCAAAGGUGGCUAUGGCCUUU